rnacentral:rRNA from 1 species
AUGAGUGUUGCCCUGAUGUUGCGUUGGGUUUGGAGGAUCUUGCGUGGAGAGGGCGGUUUGUGGUUGCAACUUCAAGCGAAAUACUUGUGGGGUGCGCCCCUCUUGACAUGCUCGCGCGUAGCUGGGUCUCAAUUAUGGAAAUCCAUCCAGAAGAUUAAGCACGAGAUCCGGUUCGAUGCCAUCUUCUCGGUUGGGAAUGGGAAUGACACUCAAUUCUGGCUCGGUCAUUGGUUGGGUGAUGAGCCACUACGCAUUUGUUUCCCUAGCCUUUUUGCUAUUAGUUCGGACCUGUAUAUUCUGGUUUCCGUGGCGUGGGUAGACGGCUAGUGGAACAUCGCGUUCCGUCGAGCAUUUGGCCAGGAGGAGGCUCUGGAAUGGGAGGAGGCUCUGGAAUGGGACAGACUGAGGGCCGCUGUCCCGUCGAGGCUAUCACAGUCCCCUGACAUUGUCUCCUGGAGUCUCUCUCCUUCGGCCGUCCCGUCGGGUCGAGGCUAUCACAGUCCCCUGACAUUGUCUCCUGGAGUCUCUCUCCUUCGGCCGUCCCGUCGGGGCUAUCACAGUCCCCUAACAUUGUCUCCUGGAGUCUCUCUUCUUCGGGAGAAUUCUCCGUUAGUUCGGCAUAUCAGCGCUGUGUCACGCUCUGGCCAUACGGUGGCUAUCACCACUGUGGAAUGCCACUGUGGAAUGCCCCUGUGCCGCUUAAAAUAA